rnacentral:lncRNA from 1 species
GUGAUCAUCAGCACAGACGGCAGUCAAGAACCCUCGGCACGCAGCAGGGUAACAACUGAGGGCUGGUGACACCGGCUGUCCAUGCAGGGAGGGAGAAAGCUGCGCCCAUGCCUCUCUCCACUUAGACCCAGGGACUGACAGCCACAGAGAACGCCUGAGGACAGGGACCUCCACUCUGCCAGAUUUCUGCUCAGCACCCCCGCAGGUGGUCAUGGGGCCGGUGUGGGGGCAGCCUGCCCUGGCUGAGAGCGAUGCCCAGAGGGCUCUUCUGAUUUCCAGAGGGCCAGGAAGAGCGGGCAGCGCGAAGAGAAACGGUGACUGGUGGAUGCCGCUCCCUCAUGCGCCUUUCGAUUCCUCUCACCAGGACUGUAUCGCUGAAUUUAUGGCCCACUUGAUGGGACCUCGGAGUGGUCUGAUUUGGCGGUCAGAGCCCUGUUUCCAGGGGCCCGUGUUCAGAGGCCAGCCCUGUAGAGAUCCGCCUGAGGAGCGGUCCCAGUGUCUUCGGGAAGGCUGGAAGGGACCGGAGUUCUCCACUGCUUCAUGUGGGAAGACGAAAGGAACCCCCACAUUUCCGAACCUGCCAGGACCUGAACUUGGACUUCUGUCUGGCAGAGCUGUGAGAAACUAUUUUCUUGUCCAUGAACCAGGCAGCCCAUGGGAUUCUGCAACAGCAGCUGGAAAGAUCAAGGCAAUGGUAAGGAGGAAU